GAUGAACGCUGGCGGCGUGCUUAACACAUGCAAGUCGAACGAAGCACUUCAUAAAGCUUGCUUUAAGAAGUGACUUAGUGGCGGACGGGUGAGUAACGCGUGGGUAACCUGCCUUACACAGGGGGAUAACAGUUAAAAAUGACUGCUAAUACCGCAUAAAACAGCAGAGUCGCAUGACUCAACUGUCAAAGAUUUAUCGGUGUAAGAUGGACCCGCGUCUGAUUAGCUGGUUGGUGGGGUAACGGCCUACCAAGGCGACGAUCAGUAGCCGGCCUGAGAGGGUGAACGGCCACAUUGGGACUGAGACACGGCCCAAACUCCUACGGGAGGCAGCAGUGGGGAAUAUUGGACAAUGGGCGAAAGCCUGAUCCAGCGACGCCGCGUGAGCGAUGAAGUAUUUCGGUAUGUAAAGCUCUAUCAGCAGGGAAGAAAACGACGGUACCUGACUAAGAAGCC
rnacentral:rRNA from 1 species